CAGGCUUAACACAUGCAAGUCGAGGGGCAGCAUGGUCUUAGCUUGCUAAGGCCGAUGGCGACCGGCGCACGGGUGAGUAACGCGUAUCCAACCUGCCUUACACUCUUGGACAGCCUUCUGAAAGGGAGAUUAAUACAAGAUGUUAUCAUGAGUAAGCAUUUUCGCAUGAUUAAAGGUUUACCGGUGUAAGAUGGGGAUGCGUUCCAUUAGAUAGUAGGCGGGGUAACGGCCCACCUAGUCUUCGAUGGAUAGGGGUUCUGAGAGGAAGGUCCCCCACAUUGGAACUGAGACACGGUCCAAACUCCUACGGGAGGCAGCAGUGAGGAAUAUUGGUCAAUGGACGAGAGUCUGAACCAGCCAAGUAGCGUGAAGGAUGAAGGUUCUAUGGAUUGUAAACUUCUUUUAUACGGGAAUAAACGAAUCCACGCGUGGAUUUUUGCAUGUACCGUAUGAAUAAGGAUCGGCUAACUCCGUGCCAGCAGCCGCGGUAAUACGGAGGAUCCGAGCGUUAUCCGGAUUUAUUGGGUUUAAAGGGAGCGUAGAUGGGUUGUUAAGUCAGUUGUGAAAGUUUGCGGCUCAACCGUAAAAUUGCAAUUGAUACUGGCAGUCUUGAGUACAGUUGAGGUAGGCGGAAUUCGUGGUGUAGCGGUGAAAUGCUUAGAUAUCACGAAGAACUCCGAUUGCGAAGGCAGCUUACUAACCUGUAACUGACAUUGAUGCUCGAAAGUGUGGGUAUCAAACAGGAUUAGAUACCCUGGUAGUCCACACGGUAAACGAUGAAUACUCGCUGUAGGCGAUAUACAGUCUGCGGCCAAGCGAAAGCAUUAAGUAUUCCACCUGGGGAGUACGCCGGCAACGGUGAAACUCAAAGGAAUUGACGGGGGCCCGCACAAGCGGAGGAACAUGUGGUUUAAUUCGAUGAUACGCGAGGAACCUUACCCGGGCUUAAAUUGCAACCGAAUAUGGCGGAAACGCUAUAGCUAGCAAUAGCGGUUGUGAAGGUGCUGCAUGGUUGUCGUCAGCUCGUGCCGUGAGGUGUCGGCUUAAGUGCCAUAACGAGCGCAACCCUUGCCGAUAGUUACUAACAGGUCAUGCUGAGGACUCUGUCGGGACUGCCAUCGUAAGAUGUGAGGAAGGUGGGGAUGACGUCAAAUCAGCACGGCCCUUACGUCCGGGGCUACACACGUGUUACAAUGGGGGGUACAGAGGGCUGCUACCACGCAAGUGGAUGCCAAUCCCAAAAACCUCUCUCAGUUCGGAUUGAAGUCUGCAACCCGACUUCAUGAAGCUGGAUUCGCUAGUAAUCGCGCAUCAGCCACGGCGCGGUGAAUACGUUCCCGGGCCUUGUACACACCGCCCGUCAAGCCAUGGGAGCCGGGGGUACCUGAAGUGCGUAACCGCAAGGAGCGCCCUAGGGUAAAACUGGUGACUGGGGC
rnacentral:rRNA from 1 species